GAUGAACGCUGGCGGCGUGCCUAAUACAUGCAAGUCGAGCGAACAGACGAGGAGCUUGCUCCUCUGACGUUAGCGGCGGACGGGUGAGUAACACGUGUAUAACCUACCUAUAAGACUGGGAUAACUUCGGGAAACCGGAGCUAAUACCGUAUAAUAUAUUGAACCGCAUGGUUCAAUAGUGAAAGACGGUUUUGCUGUCACUUAUAGAUGGAUCCGCGCCGCAUUAGCUAGUUGGUAAGGUAACGGCUUACCAAGGCAACGAUGCGUAGCCGACCUGAGAGGGUGAUCGGCCACACUGGAACUGAGACACGGUCCAGACUCCUACGGGAGGCAGCAGUAGGGAAUCUUCCGCAAUGGGCGAAAGCCUGACGGAGCAACGCCGCGUGAGUGAUGAAGGUCUUCGGAUCGUAAAACUCUGUUAUUAGGGAAGAACAAAUGUGUAAGUAACUAUGCACGUCUUGACGGUACCUAAUCAGAAAGCCACGGCUAACUACGUG
rnacentral:rRNA from 1 species